rnacentral:tRNA from 1 species
GCCUGGAUGGCUGAGUGGGUUAAGUGUCUGACUUCAGCUCAGGUCAUGAUCUCAUGGCUUGUGGAUUCAAGCCCCACAUCAUGCU